UUUUUGCAGCUCCAAGUUCACUUUUUCCUCUUCCCACAUGAA
rnacentral:sRNA from 1 species